UACGGGGGGGGCAAGCGUUGUUCGGAAUUACUGGGCGUAAAGGGCUCGUAGGCGGCCAACUAAGUCAGACGUGAAAUCCCUCGGCUUAACCGGGGAACUGCGUCUGAUACUGGAUGGCUUGGAUUUGGGAGAGGGAUGCGGAAUUCCAGGUGUAGCGGUGAAAUGCGUAGAUAUCUGGAGGAACACCGGUGGCGAAGGCGGCAUCCUGGACCAACACUGACACUGAUGAGCGAAAGCCAGGGGAGCAAACGGG
rnacentral:rRNA from 1 species